rnacentral:sRNA from 1 species
GUUCUGUCCAUUCUUAGCUAAGGGAAUUCAAGUACAAAGACUUAGUGACGGCGGUCCUUAUGUAACUGGAAGAGUACUUGAAAAUCAUUCUAUGCCAUUUUACGGAGAUUUUAUAUAUUACUAUGAAGAUGAUGUCAGUCUUAAAGCAAAGGUUGACUAUGUGAAGCAAAAAGGUCUUGGAGGCAUCAUGCUUUGGGAUAUAUGGAACGAUGAUUUUAAUGCAACUUGUAGACGUGGACCCUAUCCAAUCUUACGUGCUAUCCGUAGUGAAUGCUGGUAAAAUACUGUUGAUUUGCUAGAAAUUCGCUACAAAAUGUUGAUGGAAUAAAGAUUCUAAAAAGGCGAACCUGAUUCAAAGCUAUAAGAAAUUGAACUUCAAAAUUAUAAAUUGUUUUCGCAUUUAUUUCUACCAAUAUUUUUAGUUCACCAUGUGUUUUCAUCGACAAACUUUUCACACUAUUUCUAAUAUCGGUCAAUCAAAUGUUGGCUUCAAAUAAAAUACAAAUAUUGACCAAUUGA